ensembl:snRNA U6 U6 spliceosomal RNA
AUACUCGCUUAAGCAGCAUAUAUACUAAAAUUGGAAAGAUAAGGAGAAAAGCAUGAUCCCUGCACAAAACACAAAUUCAUGAAGCAGUCCAUUUUUUU